CAGGUGCGGCUCGGGGGGGAGGACAGGGCAAAAGACAGGCAGGAUGACUGGGAGGAAGCCGGUGGCCAGCCACACGGCGGAGGGGGCGGGGCACGCCGCCUCGCUCUCCCACAACCUGGCUGGCCCCCCUCCUAGACCAAGUAGGAGGCAUGAUCACGGGUGCCGUGGCCGAAACGUAAGAUUCCGGGCAAUGCUACAGCUCCAACACUGGCCUGUGUGGGAGAGGAGAGACGACAUAAAUGUCAGCCCGAUUUGGGGAGCUGGAGUCGCCGCUCCGGGGAAAAGCCUUUUCUACCCUCCACUGUCCAGUGGGUAAGAAGCCAGCUGCUCUGGUGUCGCCGUGGAAUCCAGGGCAACCCGUGUUGGGGUGCCCUAGAAGUGCAGCUUGUGGCUGGGCCUCCCCACCCCCAUGAGACACAGCGGGCAGGGACUGUCCCGCCAUUUCACAGGAAAAACAAAUCCAUGUAUUUUUUUGGUGAUGCUGGGAUGUGAGAACACAUUUCUGCUCCAGCAAAGGGUUUUUAAAAAAUGAAGCCGUAACGUGCCAGCUCCCAAAAGUAAGGGCUGGAUGUCAUUUAUCCUGUCUCCCCACACCCCCCCCACCUCCCGCUCCCCGCACCCCCCCCCCCUUCUGGUUUAGAGCUGGGAGCCUAAGGGAUAUAUUUGUUGUGCUGACCGGACAUUUGACUCCUGUGUAAGAUGGGCUACUAUUGAAUCAAUAAAUCAAUAAACAAAG